rnacentral:rRNA from 1 species
CGCGUAGGCGGUGGACACAGUCAGACGUGAAAUUCCCGGGCUCAACCUGGGGGCUGCGUUUGAUACGUGUUCGCUGGAGUUCGGAAGAGGGUCGUGGAAUUCCCAGUGUAGAGGUGAAAUUCGUAGAUAUUGGGAAGAACACCGGUGGCGAAGGCGGCGACCUGGUCCGACACUGACGCUGAGGCGCGAAAGCGUGGGGAGCAAACAGGAUUAGAUACCCUGGUAGUCCACGCCGUAAACGAUGUGUGCUGGAUGUUGGGCGGUCUGACCGUUCAGUGUCGUAGCCAACGCGAUAAGCACACCGCCUGGGGAGUACGGCCGCAAGGUUGAA